rnacentral:rRNA from 1 species
CACAUGCAAGUCGAGCGCGAACGGUCCUUCGGGACUUAUUAGAGCGGCGGACGGGUGAGUAAUGCAUAGGAAUCUGCCCAGUAGUGGGGGAUAGCCCGGGGAAACCCGGAUUAAUACCGCAUACGUCCUACGGGAGAAAGCAGGGGAUCUUCGGACCUUGCGCUAUUGGAUGAGCCUAUGUCGGAUUAGCUUGUUGGUGGGGUAACGGCCCACCAAGGCGACGAUCCGUAGCUGGUCUGAGAGGAUGAUCAGCCACACUGGGACUGAGACACGGCCCAGACUCCUACGGGAGGCAGCAGUGGGGAAUAUUGCACAAUGGGGGAAACCCUGAUGCAGCCAUGCCGCGUGUGUGAAGAAGGCCUUCGGGUUGUAAAGCACUUUCAGUAGGGAGGAAGGCCUGUAAGUUAAUACCUUGCAGGAUUGACGUUACCUACAGAAGAAGCACCGGCUAACUCCGUGCCAGCAGCCGCGGUAAU